UAAGGAGUCGGACCUGCCCAGUGAAUUAUUUUUAACGGCCGCGGUACUCUGACCGUGCAAAGGUAGCAUAAUCAUUUGCCUUAUAAUUGAAGGCUAGUAUGAAUGGUUUGACAAGAAUAUGGCUGUCUCUUUAUAAUUUUAUAGAACUUUAUUUUAAAGUGCAGAAGCUUUAAUUAAAUUAAAAGACAAGAAGACCCUAUCGAGCUUGAAAAAAAUUUCUAGAAAUAAAUUAAUAAAAAUUUUAAAAGAUUAGCUAAGAAAUAUUUUAGUUGGGGCGACUAAGGAACAAACAAAGCUUCCUUUAAUAAAAAUAACAUUUAAGUAUGGAUCCAGAAUGUUUGAUUGAAAGAAUUAGUUACCGUAGGGAUAACAGCAUUAUCUUUUUUGAGAGUUCUUAUCGAAAAAAAGGUUUGUGACCUCGAUGUUGGACCAGAAUAUCCUAAAGGUGCAGAAGUCUUUAAGGGUUGGUCUGUUCGACCAUU
rnacentral:rRNA from 1 species